UAAGACAAGGUCCCUGUCCUCCAGGAGCUCAUGGUCCAAUAGAAGCAUAUAUACAAAUGGCUCUGAGGGGAGAUCCCGCUGUGGCU
ensembl:miRNA MIR339-2 microRNA mir-339-2